CGUCAGAGUCCACUCGGGAGAGUCCCCUUGGCGCCGCCUCUUCCCCGGGUGCAGGGUGUAGCUGGAAAAUAGGUUCCGGACUGGGGACGCUCAUUCUGGAAGCUGAUUGGUUCGGGCACUUGUCCAUCUGGAACUGCAGCAGCUGUUUUUAAUGAAAGGAACUAAGAAAAUGUUCUGGACUCAAUACCAGGCUCAGUAUCUGCAGCUCUUAGACGUGGUCCCGACCCCUGCUGUUCACAAUACUCUCCAGUGUCUGACAUGGAAACAAAUUGUGGGGCUCUUUCCUUUAGUUCCCAGAGAGCAGGAUAAUGCCCAGCUGCCUGUUGGAUGGGUCAUCUAUUUUAAUAUUGGAGAAAGUAAAUGGAUUGUUAAGAAGAUGAACAUUUUCCCUCCUCAUUAAAAAUCUUGAAAUUUAAA
rnacentral:lncRNA from 1 species